CCUACGGGGGGCUGCAGUGGGGAAUAUUGGACAAUGGGGGGAACCCUGAUCCAGCCAUGCCGCGUGUGUGAAGAAGGCCCUCGGGUUGUAAAGCACUUUCAGUGAGGAAGAACGCCUGGUGGUUAAUACCCAUCAGGAAAGACAUCACUCACAGUAGAAGCACCGGCUAACUCCGUGCCAGCAGCCGCGGUAAUACGGAGGGUGCGAGCGUUAAUCGGAAUUACUGGGCGUAAAGCGCGCGUAGGUGGCUUGAUAAGCCGGUUGUGAAAGCCCCGGGCUCAACCUGGGAACGGCAUCCGGAACUGUCAAGCUAGAGUGCAGGAGAGGAAGGUAGAAUUCCCGGUGUAGCGGUGAAAUGCGUAGAGAUCGGGAGGAAUACCAGUGGCGAAGGCGGCCUUCUGGACUGACACUGACACUGAGGUGCGAAAGCGUGGGUAGCAAACAGGAUUAGAUACCCGAGUAGUC
rnacentral:rRNA from 1 species